GGUGCUUCUGGCCGCUUGCUUUGGGGGGCACUGUUGCUCCAGCAUGAGAAUUCCAGCGGGCUGUGGGUGUUGGGUGCACAUUUGUCACCUGGGAAUACUACCAGCAAGCCUCAUAUUUUUUCUGCAAUAAAUGCUGGAAAGGAAAAAGAAAUGCUGAAAAUGAUGAAGUAAUUCCAAUUCUGCUGAUAGAGACCUGGAAAUGCACUAGGGAAAAAUGACAAGAGUGUAACACACUGCUGCUGAUUAUGUCAUAAUGAUUAUUUUAUGCAGUUUGAAGAAGACUCACUGUUCUAAAGAACCAGCAUCCAUUUCCAGGAAAGAGCAGGGAUUCUCCAUCCAUACCUCCAUGGGAUGAACCACAUUGAAAAUAAUGAUUUCCUUCUAAUAGCUUACUCUACAUUAUAUAAAGAAUUCCUUGGGAUUCUAAAAAAACCCUAAUAAUAUAGUAAUAAUAACAACAGAGGUUUGUUUUUGCUAUUUGUAGUCUAAUAUUCAGAUUGUGAGCAGCUGUUUUGGAAGGCAAGAUGAGUGAAUAGAUGUGAAGUCGUCUUAGAAAUGUCCAGGCUUCCAAAAGAAAUUUCACUUUUAAAAGAAAAUAGCCUAAUGUGAACCACAUUAGAAUCAGCACAUCUAAUCCUACGGAGAAAAAGUGACCAUGGCUGUCUACACAUAUAGGCAGGUCAUUCAAGCUCAUUCAAAAAUUCCACUUUCACUGGUGGUCUGUCUGUGUCCACAUGGUGACAAAUGGCCCCGGCAGGGUUUUUGAGGUGUUGGCACCACCAGUGAGUGCCAGAUGGAAUGUGGUGAAAGUUCUGAUUUGUACCUUUCAGACUAAAGGUACUUUCCAGAAUGGACGGGUCCUUCUGGCUGCCUUUUGUAAGUGCAGCCACAGGUAUUCUGUUGAAGCCUGUGGGUGAGAAAGACAUAAACAGGUGCUAUAAAUUUGUCAGACCAGGAAGCCACAGGCCGUUUAGUAAAUGGUAAACCCAAUGGCCCAAAAGAACAAAGGGGUCUCUUUUCAUCAGAAUGAUCAGGCUCAUUCAACAAAUAUUUAUUGAGCACCCACUUUCUGCCAGAUGGAAGAGCCACUGACAAGGCCUCUUAUUUAAAGAGUGCCUGAAGUGAGGAAGCAAACCCCCAAAUCAUCUGGGAUGGUAUGAACUGAACUCUGGACCGCAACAUGAUGGAAAGGAGGAGCUGGGGUCCCAAGGGCAGUCCAGACAACCUGAACCUGUGACACUCACCCUGCCCACACACUCUCAGAGCUGCAGCUUUCACGGGGGUGACAUGAAUGCUUGUAAAUGAGCUUGCUGAAUGGGAGACCAAGAACGAUGAUAUUGAGCUGUUACUACAUGCCAGACAUUUAACCCUUUCAUCCAGGUUAUCUCAAUCAUUCCUUACAGAAAGGCUUUUGAGAUGUCCUUGCAACUGGAGGUGCCAUAUGAUACAGUUCUGCCCAAAGACAAGAAAGUGAAUGUCUGUUGAGGGCUUCCUAUAAGGCCAAUACAUACAGGUGUUCCCAACAACAGGUAAGUCAAUUCAGCUGGUUGGAUUUUUCACUUUUCAUCUGAAUGUUUACAUGUAUCUGAAUGUUUCCAUAGACAUAGACUGAGCGUGUGACUUGAGUCAAAGUUAAUUUGAGUAAGAAACCAAGGGAGAAUUUUAUUUCUUUUUAUUGAUGCCUCAGUCUCUUUCCAUUUUUUCAUAGAGACCCAGGAGUCCAUGUUAAAAGUGUCCUAAAGAGGAGGUAAAGGCUAAGGAAUUUGAGAACCCUAAGAUUUUCUUUGAAAUUCUGUGGAGAUGAUGCUAAGAGGAUCACUUAUAAAUGCUUAUUGGAUGUAAUUUCCAUGUUGGACAGGUGAUAUUUCCAGGGAGAAGCUUAAGGGAUUGUAGGUAAUAUAAAGUCUCAAGGUAGAAAACACUGACUCUGAGACUGUGUAUUUAUAAUGUGUGUGUGCAUGUGUAUGUGUAAUUCAUUUGCUGAUCUUUGUUUAACUUUUUAUUAAACUAUAAUGUAUGUGCAGAAAAAAAUGCACAUAUUAUAACAUAGAGCUUAAAGAAUUUUCACAAAUGACCAUAUCUUUGAACCCAAUACCCAGGUCACAAAACAGAACAUUACCAGAACCCUAAAAACCCUUGUUCUCCCUUCUAAUAACUACCUUUUUGGCCAACAAUAACUACCAGGCUUCCAUUCUUACCUUUUUACAAAACAAACCAAUGAGUGGAAGCGCAAGGUCACCCCUUCUCCUGUUUUCACUUGCUCGCGAUUGACAUGGGGAAGUAAAACCUGUACUAUGGCACAUUUAAUUAUGGGAAAAUGAAAAGAAAGAAAUAAAAACCAGACCAACAAAGCAAAGAUUUAAGUUGGCAUCGCUUUCCAUAUCAUUGUGAUGCCGGCAGACACUCAAUAAACAUAUCAGCAUUGUUAAAAUGAUUUAUCAGCCAAAUAGUUGAAUGUAAAAUAUUAUCAAUACAGGUGUCAUCAUUGAUCUUUCUUGGGUCUCACUGCUGAAGAAUGGGGCUGUAAGAUGAUUUCAACAAACAAUCCUUGACAGGAAACCAAAGGCAACAAGGCACAGGGACAGACAGCUGACAAAUGCAGUAUGGGGCCAUUAAAGCAUGUGAUGAAUUUGCCAGGAAAGUAUAUAUUUGUGCAAGAGGUGAGCUCAUAUCUCCCAUAAAUUUGUCAGCCGUGACACAGUGUUCUCCGGCUUGGCAUGAGUAAUGCCUUGCUAUUUGCGCCUUUGUCUGGCAAAAGCUCUAUCAGUCACUCCAGGGUUAUUUACAAAGAAACGUGUCUAUCAGUUACAAGGACAUGACUUUGCUGCUAAAAGAUAACAAAAGAAGAAAUCAGGCAGUGGCCUCUCAGCGAGGGAUGCGUCUUUUCCAGACAAGCUCUGGACUGGAAUGAAUCAGAUGGACGGCAAUUGGCCGGGCUGGCCCAGUGCCUGGCAUGACCAGCCUUAGUGCAUUUAUCCACACUGAUUAGAUUAGAAAUUAUUAAUAGGGGGCUACGGAGUAGAGCAAAAGGUCAUUUAGAGUUUAAUUCUGUUCUCAGAUAACUUCAUUUCGGCUGAUGGGAUUGUUAUUGUAGGGGUUUUAUAUGUUUAUAGGAAACAAUAUACUCAAUAAUGAAGUCCUGCCUCCUUCUGCAAGGUCAGGAAAGCUAUUGUGUAGCUAGAUUGAAGUCUUCACAAUUGUGUUAAUUAAGUAACAGUGAUUGGACUUGGUCUUCUCUUGAAAUGCAUUUAAGAGCCUAAAAGCUGCUGAGAAUGUAUUCUUUCAAUAUAAAUAUAUAGUAAAGCAAGUGAGACCAGAAAGCAGCUGACGAUUGAGUAAACAGAAGAGCUGACAUGAAGCUUUUACUUAAGACAGGAGCCUGGUUGGCAGAUGUAACUUCUUGCCACAUAAAUACAAAUGUCUUGUCAGUUUAUGAUUAAACAUAACAGGUCCCUUUUUCUUACUCAAUUCCUGAUGAAUCUGAAAGAUAAAGCUGUAGAAAGUAUAGUUGAUGGUCUCAUCAGUUACUUUGUUGCCUUGCAGGCCUGCCCAUUUGAGGCAGAUGAUCAGAGUACGGUAAGAGGCAUGUCCUUCUCAGAUUAAAGGGCCAUAGCCUUGGUCUUGGCUCAUAGUCCAGGGUCAUUCUGGAGAGGGAACCCAGCUUUGUCCCCUCCUUUGGAGGGCUUAUAACUCAGAUAUUAACAUUUGCUGAAGAUGGUUGUAAUUUUUUUUGUUCUGAGGUACAAGAUCUCUUCUAAAUAGCUAAAAAAGAAUUUAGUUGAUUCUAAGUGAAAAGUGAGUUCAUGGAAAGCACUUUGUUGCCAUGUGUUUCUUAAAGACCACAGAAGACUUUUGGGCUCCAGUUAAGCAAGUCCCCUUCGAUUUGGCUCCAGAUGCAGUGAUACCCCACGAAGGGGAAGUUUAAAGUGAAACUUGGCAACUGGUGAUUGAGUCUUAUCUUCCCAACUCUCCUCCAACGCCCCCACCCACACAUAUAAGAGAACCACCAUCCAAAGACAGAACUUAGGAGAGUUGUUGAAUUGAAAUGAUAGUUUCAUUGAUGUAAGUUUUGUAAAAUACCUUUAAGGCAGAGAUUCUCAAAUGGAAGUGAUUUUGUCCCCCAAGGGACAUUUGACAAUGUCUGGAGACAUUGGGGUUGUAACAACUAGGAGUGGAUGAUUGCUACCGGCAUCUAGUGAGUGGAGCCAGAGAUGCUGGUAAACAUUCUGAAAUACCUGCCCCCUACAUAGAACAAACAGUCAUCCAGGCCAAAAUGUCAAUAGUGUGAAGGUUGAGGAACCCUGCUCUCAAGAACCUUUGAAUCAAUGAAGGAUGAGGAGUUGGGAGAGGUUACUCUCUCUAGGGAAUGGGUUACCAUACAGAAUUUCUACUUAGAAAAAAAAUCUAUAAUUAUGACAUUAUAAAUAAUCAUACUAGAAUUUGGAAAAAUUUCUUAUAAAAUGUGCUUGGCCAGGCACGGUGGCUCACACCGGUAAUUCCAGCACUUUGGGAGGCUGAGGCAGGCAGAUCACGAGGUCAGAUCGAGACCAUCCUGGCUAACAUGGUGAAACCCCAUCUCUACUAAAAAUACAAAAAAUUAGCCAGGCGUGGUGGCGGGCGCCUGUAGUCACAGCUACUCGGGAGGCUGAGGCAGGAGAAUGGUGUGAACCCAGGAGGCGGAGCUUGCAGUGAGCCAAGAUUGUGCCACUGCACUCCAGCCUGGGCAAAAGAGUGAGACUCUGUCUCAAAAAAAAUAAAAAUAAAAUAAAUAAAUAAAUAAAUAAAUAAAAUGUGCUCAUUUCAAUGAAAACUUGGGAGAUAGAAAAAAUUGCUUUUUUUGUGCCACAUGAUUUUAGAGUUAUUUGCUACAUGUGCUGCAUGAUUUUAGAGUUAUUGUGGUGUGAUGAAAUGUCAAGACUCAAAAGCUUUGUACGAAUAUGCAUGAGGUGGCAUGAAGUACUGGAAGGAAGACUAAACUGAGAUCCCAUAUAUCUAAAUGCAACCUUGUCAUUGAUGAAACAUGAGCCUGGUCAAGUUCUUUAACCCGUGUAGGCCUCAGUUACUGUUUCUGGCCAGACACUGAGACUGAGAAGCUUGACAUCACUACUUGGCUAUUCCUUCCUCAACCACAGUCAUAGCCAGGACAAGGAUUUCUCCUUAUUUCUGAACCUAACAGUCAUCCCUUCCUUUACAUUACCAGUGGCCUGACUUUAGUUUGGGUCUUUGUUGCUUCAUGUCUGGACUGUUGUAGUGGUUUCCUAGCCGAUGGUUUACUCUUGGACAUAUGCUAUGAAAUGCUGCCAUUUUGUCUGUUUAAAUCAUUACUUUUUUCAUGUCACUCCUUUCAAAUUCUUCAGUGGCUUCCCGUUGCCUCUAACAGUUACUCUUGGUGUGACACCCCCAUCCCUCCCUGAUAAGCCUAAGAAUGCUUUUCUAUCUUUGUCCCAGGUGUUUGCCCUACUUGGGUCUUUGCUGUCUCAAUCAUGUUAAUGCACUUACUACCUUCUUCAUAAUGGCAUAUCCUAGAAUGAAAGUCUUAUCGCUCAGCAUUUGUUCAGAAGCACCCUCCUUCCUGGAACGUUCCCUCUCUAUUGUUCUCUCUUAUCCUUCUUUCAAAUCUGAAAUCCAGAGCAUCUCAAGAAAGCUUAAUGAGAUUUCCAGUAAUAUCUCUGUCCUCUAAGUUCCUAUGUACUUAUGAUUGUCUGAGCAGUAUGCAUAGUACUUACUGUAUUUGACUUUGUAUAAAAUUUUUCUUCUCCCUUCAUUUACAUCUUUCAUCCCUUCUCAACUAAGAGAAAAGAGUCCACCACACUGAGUAGGCUUUACAGGAUCUAAUAGGGGGUUCAAUGGGAAAGGUAAAUAAAUGUUUUAUACCAUCUUCUGGGUUUCUUGCACAUUCAUGAUUGGCUAAAACUAAGACAUUUUGGGAGAGAAUUGUAGCAAUGUAUUCACACACAUAAAUUAAAACGUAAAGUCUUUCAAUAGGCUGUAAGCCUCAUCGUGAGAGUCACAAUGCCCAAGGCACCUUGUGUCCUCUUGGCUUUGAUGUAAAAGAUGUCCAAAGAAGGCUUAGGUGGAUGAUUUUAUUCCGUACAUGCUUUUCUAUGUCAAAAUUAUCAGUGAAAUAAAAGUAGUAUCCAGGAUUGGGGGACUUUCGGUUACUACAGAAAGCACUUUGCAUUUAAAAAAAUAUUUUACUAGCAUAAUUUUUUUGUUAUUUUUGAGAGAAACAUCUCUGUUGAAAUGUGUCUCUUGUAAUCCAAAAGUGAAAGUUUUCUUUGAAGGUCUCAGUUGACUCUUGUAACACAUUCCAAAGACAAUGGAUUCCACUAGACUCCUAAACUUAAACAAAAUGAUCGAAUUUUGACAUGGAGUUGGAGAAAGUGAUCCAUAUUGCUUAGUGUUUUGGGAGGGUGCUUUUUGUUGUUUGUUUGUUUUUCUUUAGAAAGCUGUCUGGGAUAUAGAUAUAAUGUGUGAUUUUAUGCCACACCAGCAUCAAAGUGUUCUUUUCAUCUUUCCUUUUGACUUAAGCGUACUCAUGAUUAAUGUAUGCCAAUAGAUUUUAAAGAUGCAGCCAUCUGCCUUGCCUUACCUGUAAGAGUUUGUUUGUUCUUACCUCCUUUGUAGGUUCCCAAAGUUUUAUACAUCCUUUAUGUAUAAAAAGGAUGGCAUGGCUGUCUAUAUACUGCAAUAUUCACGUCAGGAUUUCCAAGUCUUUGUUACGACAUAGGUUUUUUUUUUUUUUUAAACUGGAGUCACCAACAUGAUUGCUAAAGUUAGAUACACUUCUUUAUUAUUACCUGACUUGUUUUGUUUUUAAUCUAUGCAUUUGCUAAUGUUACUCCCUUUGACUAGACUGCUUCCCUUUUAAAAGGACAAUAUAGCUAAAUGCAAUGUUUCUUAAAGUGUGGUCCCUGGACCCGCAACAUCGGCAUCAUAUGAGAACCUGUUAGAAAGGCAAACUCCCGUCUUACUUAUUGAAUUAAAAACUCUAGGGCUGGAUUUUAACAAGCCCUCCAGAGCUUCUGAUGGAAGAAUAAGACAGAGAACCACUGGCUUUAUUGUUCACACUGUGGCCUCUAGGGCAGGCUGCUUGAAUUCAGAUAUUUAACCUUCAAGUCACUUAACUUUCCUGUGCCUCGGUUUCCUUCAUCUAUGAAUGGAAUAAUAAUAGUACUAUCCAUAUAGAGUUUUGGUGAAAUUAGACUGAGAUAAUACAUUUUAAAAAUUUAGUAAGUCCUGGCACCUGGGGAGUACUUAUAAACUUUAGCUGUUUUUUUCAAUUUUUUUUCCAUUCUCUAGGCUUACAGCACUUCUUCCUCUUGAUCAUCUUUCCAAUUCUUGAUGGGCUGACCCCUUCCCCUGUCUUGAACAUCCCUGACACCUCUCCUGAUGUUGUCAAUGCAGGGAGAAGGGUGCAUAUAUUUUUCUGUAGUCAAAUACUGAGGUUUCCCCUCAUUAACUUAUUUUUUUCUUGAAAACCUGUACUUAAUGAGGAACAAACAAAGAGGCAGAAUACAAUGCACUUAUUUUUUUCUUAGGUCUGGUUUCUAUUUAAAAUUUAAUCUAAUUUUUUAAGGUCCAACUGUUUUUUUUAGGCCUUGGGAAUAUGAACCGUACUUGUUUAGGCCUUGGGAAUGUGAGUCUGUACUAGCAUAAUUGAUAUGAGGAUGGAUGGUUGGGGGGUGUUUUCUGCCUGUCUUCAAUGAUGAAUCCUUCUUGUUUGUUCUAGAUGCUUCUGGACUUGUUAUCCUGUGUCAUUUCUACCUGGUGCCAGUUUUUGACAAAUGAUAGUAGCAAGUUGUGGUAUGCUACCUCAGGUUCCUAUUUUCCCUGAGUGCUUGGAUGUAAUAAUUUUAGAGACAGCCAAAUGGUUAAUGAGUCUUGCCCUCAGGAGCUCAGCACAGAGGGAAUCCUCACUAGCCUAUCAGAUGCCUCCUUGGAAAAUGGUGAAAGUGUGAGAGAGCAAGAUGAAUGGACAUUUGUAUAUCACAUUCUUUGAGAAUUGAAUAGGGGAUUUAUGGUGUUCCCUGACUUGACACACUUCACACUUGUCAUGUUGGCACAUUGCAUUAUACUCUGCUGCCCAUGGGGCUUUUGAUGAUGUUUCAGAAACAGGUAAUAGAUGUUUCUGUGCUGUAUCCAUGCAUUUGCAGAGAAAGAUCCAAUAUUAAAAACAAAGGUACAGUAGAAUCCAUCGCUAUCAACCAAACACAAAAGCCUACCUCUGCUCUCUGCUGUCUCGUUAGUCUCAAUUCCUUACCCGACAUAUAUAGCCCUUCUCCAACUAGAUAUGGUCCCCCUGAAAUAACAGCAUAGCCCAUAAUCAGUGCUGUUGUUUUAUGCACGGUUUAACAUUGAUUUGGGAGUGGCGCAAUUGGUGACCACUGUUCUGGCAGCACAGUGCAGUAGAAAGAACACUGGAUUAAGUAUCAUGAGCUCUUCAUGUUAACCGGGGACCUCCUGGGUGUGAGCUUGGAUGAAUCUCCAAUGGCCGUGGCCUAGUUGCCUCGUGGAACACCGGUGCACAGAAACUCCUGACCAGCCUCCCUCCCAGGAGGAAGACAUUAGAACUUGUUCUGAAAAGUAUACUUUUCAUACUUUUUUGAUUUGCUAAGUAUGGAAGUGAGAGAAAACCACCUAAUUGACUAUUCGUGAGGCAGUUGGAAUACAAAUGUAUUUACCCUCAAUUUUACAGAAAGAGAAACAGGGCCUUUAAAAUGGUGAGGAAGUUUUUUCAAGGAACACUGUAAGUGAUAGCCAAAGAAGGUCUUGACUUCUGUCUUCUGCUUACUAGUUGAGGUUCCCUGAGAUUUCUAUAUCUGCCUUAAACCCACACCCCUUAGUCCUUACUGCCACCACAGGCCUGGGCAGUAAGGAAUCAGCAACAGCUAUGCUGCGGUCAGGGUAAGAGGUCUUUUGCUCAUCUUUUGGGUGAAAUUCUGCAGCAAUCCUUGAAAAAGAAGGCUGCAAUAAUAGCUGUUACUAAAUUUUCUAAUAGCCAGGCAAAAAAGAGGCCACAGAUGCAUUUAGUUUUAUGUAAAAAUGUUUUAAAUGAAGAUUUCUUUUACAACUGAGUUUAUGAAUGGAGAGUCUAACUGGUUGCAUAUAAAUAGUGAGCACUAUAUGUUUACCACCUUCUGUGAAAUUAGGACAGUAUUUGUAGAUCUUUUUCAUAUGUACCCUCUCUUCACCAAUAGAGCAUCAGAAAGAGAAGAAACUUUAAUUUUUCAUUCUCUGUCAUCUUCUCAAAUUCCAGAGGUCAAUGCUCAUUAGAUAUAGACUUAUCAACUUCAAGUGAAAACAGGUUGAAAACAUCUAGAAUAAAAUAAAGAGAAGAUUUCUGAGCCUCAUAGUCUCUCAUCGCAUCUCCCAAGUAAAUUAGGAUCCCUUUAAGACAUUAUCUGUCAGGAUUAACUACACAUAUUCCCCAACUUCAAUAUUCCUGCUGCUAUUUAGGGCUUUUGUAGGGCUGCUUAAGGUUCUUAUUUAAGCCCUAAUGUUAAAUCCCGUGAUGCUGGAGUUGCUGACAGCUCUGCCUCUGUGUCAUGUGCUUUAAGCAUGCAGUCUAGCAUCUUUUCUUUCCUAUUCAUGCCACCGGGGUAAUACAGUUUCCCCAGUAUCCUCCUGAAAAGAUCUUGAAUCAAGAGGUAAGUCCUGAAAAACAUGCAAUGGAUCAUCAAAAGAAGCCGUAGUGGUGAAGAGAGGACUGUGAAUUGCAGAGUGACCAAUAUCUAAGUCUCAGUCAAGUAAGCACUCUAGUUAAGUUAUACUGUUGAGUUCAUAAGAAGGGUGCAUGCUAUGUGUAACAGCAUAGCAUAGUUCUAUGUAUGUAAGUCAUAAUUAUUUAAUUUUUGUGUUCACCCUGACCUUGCUUUUGUAUUAAUUAGCUAUUACUGUGAAACAGAUUAUGCCAAAAUUUAGCAGCUUAAAAUGAUACACAUUUAUGAUCUCAUAGUUUCUGUGGUUCAGGAAUCCAGGCACAGCUUAGCUGGGUCUUUUGCAUUAUAGUUUUUUACAAGCUUGCAAUCAAGGCUUUAGUCUAGGGGUUGCAUUCUCAUCUGAAGCCAGGAUUGGGAAAGGAUGUGUACCCAAAGCCACUCUCAUGGUUGAUGGUAGGACUCAGUUCCUCUACGGGCAUUGUACUGAGGGCUUCAGUUCCUUGCCAGCUAUUGACUGCAGGCCACCCUCCAUUAUUUGCUGUGUGACCGCUCUAACAUGGCAGCUUCCUUCAUCCAAAUGGGCAAACUCUGAAGACUGCUAUAGAAUGAAUGUUUGUUUUCCCCAAAUGCAUGUGUUGAAAACCCAAUCCCCAAUGUGAUAGUAUUAGGAGGUAAGGCCUUUGGCAGGUGAUUAGGUAAUGAGGGAGGGAGGAGCCCUCAUGAAUGGGAUUAAUGCCCUUAUUAAAAGGACCCCAGUGAGGUGUUUCUUUCUUCUGCCAUGUUAGGACACAGCAAGAAGAUGGCUGUCUAUGAACCUGAAUAUGUCUAGCCCUCACCAGACACUGAAUCUGAGAGAACCUUGAUCUUGGAUUUCCAGCCUCCAGAGUUGUGAGAGCUAAAUUUCUGUUGUUUGUAAACCACCCAGUCUAUGGUAUUCUGUUACAGCAGCCUGAACAGGCUAAUAUAAAGACAAUAAGGAGAAUUUGCUAGCAAGAUGGAAGCCACAAUCUUUUGUAACCUAAUCACAGAAGUGACAGCCUAUCACUUUUGCCUUAUUGUGUUUAUUAGAAGCAAGUCACUAGGUCUAGCCUACCCUCAGGGGAAAGAAAUUCCACCAGGGCACAAAUGCCAGGAGAUGGGUAUCAGUGGAGACCAUCUGAGAAGUCUGCCUACUAAGGCUUUCCAUGUCUACCUCCGAACAAGGGAAUCUAUCAUGAUUAUUGCAUGUGCCCUGAGCACUGGGUUUAGAUGACAUUAAGCAGAAUCAAGGUAAUUGUUCAGGAAACCUUCAGCGGGAGAGUCUGCCCUGUGUCUAGUUUCUCUUUUGCUUCAGAAAAUACUUACUUGAAUUGUUUCUAACUUAAUAAUACUUUGUGUUACCUGAGGGUCUCUAAAGGCUUGGUAAGCAUCAGAACAAAAAAUUUCUUCUCCACUUUCUAGGAGUUCUUAGAUCAUUAUUUUGCUGGUACAGUAACUGGCUCUCCUAAUCCACUGUGAAGCUUGCUUAUUUACUGUGCGGAUGGUUUGGACCAUCAAAAGUGUAGAGUUAAAAUAACCAGGGGAGAGAAUAUUAGACCCAGAAUCAAAGUAGCCUAAAGUUACCUCUUUAGGUACCUUGUUUCUCCCAUGUGCAAACUGUAAGCUCAAGUGUCUUUUCUCAGGUGGUCACAAUGUAGUUUGAGACUAGAGGGAUUGUGGAUGAAGAUGCUCUGAGUUAUUUAGAAGAGAUGCACUACAUCAGUAAUGGAUGGUUGUUAUUUGAUUAAAAUGGCUAAUUUUAAAAUCUUCAUUUUCUCUCAGUUAUAUUGCUCCUAUGUUAUGUCAAACACUGCUCAUGUCUUGCCUUGUUCCCCUCUCCCUCUGUUCUGCAUGCUACAGCUGUAAUAGUGUUUAUGAGAUGCUAAACUGACCAUAUCACUCCUCUACUAAAACUUUACAAUGAUAUGCAAAGGUCAUCAUACUAGAGUGUCAA